GGCCGCGGGAAUUCGAUUUUGGAGGGCAAGUCUGGUGCCAGCAGCCGCGGUAAUUCCAGCUCCAAUAGCGUAUAUUAAAGUUGUUGCAGUUAAAAAGCUCGUAGUUGAAUUUCGGGAUCUGUCCGUCGGUCGGGCUUCACGGUCCGCACUGGUGCGAUGGAUUCCUACCUUCUGAACAACCGAUAUGUCAUUAAUUUGAUGCGCCGGGGAAGCAGAACCAUUACCUUGAAAAAAUUAGAGUGCUCAAAGCAGGCUUGCGCCUGAAUACAUUAGCAUGGAAUAAUAAAAUAGGACGGCAUGGUUCUAUUUUGUCGGUUUCUAGGAUCACCGUAAUGAUUAAUAGGGAUAGUUGGGGGCAUUAGUAUUCAAUUGUCAGAGGUGAAAUUCUUGGAUUUAUUGAAGACUAACUUCUGCGAAAGCAUUUGCCAAGGAUGUUUUCAUUAAUCAAGAACGAAAGUUAGGGGAUCGAAGACGAUCAGAUACCGUCGUAGUCUUAACCAUAAACUAUGCCGACUAGGGAUCGGACGAUGUUAAUUUUAUAAUGACUCGUUCGGCGCCCUUACGGGAAAACAAUCACUAGUGAAUUCG
rnacentral:rRNA from 1 species